rnacentral:lncRNA from 1 species
GGGUCCGCUUCAUUUCACAUGCUCAAUAUUGAAUGCUUUGUUUAGCGCUAGAUCUCCAGCAACCACAAUCCUAGGAGACGAUACACAAGAAAACCUCGUUCUCUUACUUCGAACAAGCUUUUUUCUAUCCGCUCUUUUUCCUUGGACAAGAAGCCCUCUGUCUCUUUAUUUUCUUUGAGCCAAGGUUUAUUUCUCCAGCC